rnacentral:rRNA from 1 species
CCUACGGGUGGCAGCAGUGGGGGAUAUUGCACAAUGGGGGAAACCCUGAUGCAGCGACGCCGCGUGGGUGAAGAAGUAUUUCGGUAUGUAAAGCCCUAUCAGCAGGGAAGAAAGAAGACGGUACCUGACUAAGAAGCCCCGGCUAACUACGUGCCAGCAGCCGCGGUAAUACGUAGGGGGCGAGCGUUAUCCGGAUUCACUGGGUGUAAAGGGAGCGUAGACGGCCGUGCAAGCCAGGAGUGAAAGCCCGGGGCCCAACCCCGGGACUGCUCUUGGAACUGUGCGGCGAGAGUGCGGGAGGGGCAGGCGGAAUUCGUAGUGUAGCGGUGAAAUGCGUAGAUAGUAGGAGGAACACCAGUGGCGAAGGCGGCUUACUGGACUGUAACUGACGUUGAGGCUCGAAAGCGUGGGGAGCAAACAGGAUUAGAUACCCUAGUAGUC